UACGGAGGGUGCAAGCGUUAUCCGGAUUCACUGGGUUUAAUGGGUGCGUAGGCGGGCAGGUAAGUCAGUGGUGAAAUCCUAGAGCUUAACUCUAGAACUGCCAUUGAUACUAUCUGUCUUGAAUAUUGUGGAGGUAAGCGGAAUAUGUCAUGUAGCGGUGAAAUGCUUAGAUAUGACAUAGAACACCUAUUGCGAAGGCAGCUUACUACGCAUAUAUUGACGCUGAGGCACGAAAGCGUGGGGAUCAAACAGG
rnacentral:rRNA from 1 species